UGGGGGGUGGGACUUGGACAGGGCCAGUCCGGUCUCGCUCCGGAGCGGGAAGCUCGGAGCAUGUAGAGGGGGACCAGCUUGGGUGGCGGCUGGCUAGCCCCAGCCAGCCCCAGUGGCAGCCGCGGGAGAUGGGCUUGAUCAGGAGAGGAGCAUUUGCGGUUUGAAUCUGUUGGUGUUGGUCGUUGGGCUACUUCCCGCCAUGGCCCAGGCUCCUAGCACAAGGACCAGUGCGAGGCGGCCUGAGCAAUGGCGGGACGCGGACAGACGGCGGGGAAGCAAAUGGCGGUGCCACUGAGGGUAGGUCAGGAUGGGGGGCGCUCUGGCAGGCAGGAUGACGAGGCGAACGCUGCAGUGCGGCAGAGAGCGCAGCCCUUGCAGGCAGCGGCACUUCUCAGUCACACGUGCUGUCCGCGCUCUGUGCCUCAGUUUCCCCAUCUGUAGAAUGAGGGGGUUGGACUAGGCGAUCUCUCUGGGCCUUUCGAGCUCGGACAUUCUGGGAUUCUCUGUGGAGUUGUAAGUGACAGGGAGGCAUCUGGGAGACUGUAAAAAAAAAAAAAAGGUGGGUUUGGAAGUAGGGACCAUCUUAGCGUUCGAGCCGCAGACCCAGAGAAUCCCCAUUGUCUGAGCUGGCAGAAACCGAGAGGUCUUCUCCGACCUCCUCGCGUUGGAGAUGGAGUCACUGAGGGACAGAGGCCUUGAGAAGGGACUCGAUCAGGAGAGAGAAGCAGGGGAGACGAGAUCAGGAUCGAAAAGAGCCUCAGGGUGAGCCCCAAGUUAUAGAGUAGGAGGCGAAGGUGCAACGGAGACCGAGGAGUAACCAGAAAGACCGAAAGAGACCCAGAAAAUGUAGCUUCAUGGAGGGCAGGGGGGAAACGUCAGGAAGGAGGAGGCGAGGAACACCAGCAGACCAGCAGCAGCCAAGUCAAGUCGGCUUGGAGAGAGGGGAGAGAGCGAGGCGAGGGAGGCAGGCGGUGUAGACCAAGAAGGAGAGGCGCGAACUAGGGGCGCUCUCAAAGGACACUAGUCGAGCCAAGGCGGCUAGGAUCCGGGAAAGAGCCGGGCGGAGGACCAGGGAGCCAGGUCCUCGGGCUGAGCAAGGGAUCACAGCCAGGAAGGCUGCCGAUGACCUCCGGCUCCUCGCUGCGAGGCGAAGGCAUCUGCAGAGAGACCGUGGGAAGGAGCGGGAUGCCCCAGCAGAGGCAGGCAGGCAGGCAGGCAGGCUGAGGCUAGCUAGGCCGGGGAGGUGCACGCUCCCGCGACCUUCUCCAGGAACUCUUUGCAGCCCGGGAGCCGGAGCGGAGAAAGCAAACAGUGGAGGCUCCGAGCACUGUCUGCUUUAUCCGCUCCUGCUCCUGGGGCUGACCUAGCAAACGCGCAGCGGAAGGCCAAGGAUGCCGGGGUAUCAAGGGUGCUAGUGAGGGCAGCACAGAAAUGGCUCACCAUGGAGGAGCAGAGGUUGGUUUGGGACGUGAAUCUGGCUGGAAGGGGGCGAGCGGAGGGGCCCCGCGAGCUGGGAGGGCUUCAGUGAUUUAAGGUCCCCCUGAGGGUGGCGAGGGGGAGCCAGUCACGAAGCAAGCUCCCCAAGUAGUAUGAAGUCACACCAGUGCGAGACGGCAGAGGUGAAGCUGAUGCCCAGUGGGCACCCGAUGUGAAUGAACGAAGGCAGAUGAGAGUCGGAGCACCAUGAACGACAAAGAGUGGAAAAGGUGGGGUAUCAUCAGAAAAACACUGAUACCGGUGCAGCAACCGCCAUGCUAGCGAAUCAGAAGACCAGUGGCAAAGACACGAGUACAUGGGAUUGCUCGUCCAGGCUCUGUAAAGAUCAAUCUCCGAUCACUUCACUGAUCUAGCAGCAGUCAGGGAAGGAGCCUUUCUCACCCAGCCAACUCCCCCCAGGCAUAAGCAUGUGGGCAUGAAGAAAGGAUUACAUCCUGGCCAAGGUCCCGGCCCAGGCAAAGCCCAGGACAGGACCUUUUCCCAUCUGCUAACAAGAUGCCACUUGAUUCAGACAGCAUGGCCAGAAAGGCCCCAGGCCCAAGACCCGGGAUCCGUGUGUUGACGGCACAGAGAAGAAUGCUGACCCACUGGGGGUUGCUGAAUCCCCUCACCCAGAGAAGAGAGAACCUCAGAGCACACAAAAAAGUCCUCCAACAAGAUGCUCCCAGAAGCCCUCCCCAACAAAGACCCGAGCCCCCACUCUCCACAAUGUUCCGCCAAUAACUCAGCCUCUGUUUUCUCCCCUCCAAAUCCAUCGCCUCCUGGAAGCCUUCCAUGAUGAGAGAUCCCCUCCCCCCCCCACUCCACCCUUCCCCCUGAUCCUGGUUUUCCCAUCCCCCUCUCCCUCCAGCCCCCCACCCGCCCCCCCAAAUGUAAUGUCCCUCGAUUCUGCGACCCUGAAGCCCUUACAGAUUCCAAUUGCACUAAGUAGUUCGUUUGCACUGAUGCGUGUGCAUGGUCCCCACGAGUGUGUGAGUGAGUGUGCGUGUGCAUGUCUGUGUCAGUCCUGUCUCGGCUAGCCUGCUCCCCCACGAGCCCAGGCUAGUCCUCCACUUACACCUCUUACAGUUCACUCCCCUGUUCCCCCUCCCCCAGAGCCUGCCCGCCAGGGCUGGCUCUGCACACACUCAAUAAACACUGUUGACAGACAGCAGGGUUUCUCAGGA